rnacentral:rRNA from 1 species
CCUACGGGUGGCAGCAGUGGGGAAUAUUGCACAAUGGGCGCAAGCCUGAUGCAGCCAUGCCGCGUGUGUGAAGAAGGCCUUCGGGUUGUAAAGCACUUUCAGCGGGGAGGAAGGCGUUAAGGUUAAUAACCUUGGCGAUUGACGUUACCCGCAGAAGAAGCACCGGCUAACUCCGUGCCAGCAGCCGCGGUAAUACGGAGGGUGCAAGCGUUAAUCGGAAUUACUGGGCGGAAAGCGCACGCAGGCGGUCUGUCAAGUCGGAUGUGAAAUCCCCGGGCUCAACCUGGGAACUGCAUUCGAAACUGGCAGGCUAGAGUCUUGUAGAGGGGGGUAGAAUUCCAGGUGUAGCGGUGAAAUGCGUAGAGAUCUGGAGGAAUACCGGUGGCGAAGGCGGCCCCCUGGACAAAGACUGACGCUCAGGUGCGAAAGCGUGGGGAGCAAGCAGGAUUAGAUACCCUAGUAGUC